rnacentral:rRNA from 1 species
GUCCUUUUGAUUUUAUUUAAGGUCUAACCUGCCCACUGUGUAUAAAUGGCCGCAGUACUCUAACUGUGCAAAGGUAGCAUAAUAAUUAGUCUUUUAAUUGAAGGCUGGAAUGAAUGGUUGGACGAGGUAUAAGCUGUUUCAUUUAAAUUUAUUAUAGAAUUUUAUUUUUCAGUAAAAAAGCUGAAAUUUAUUUAAAAGACGAGAAGACCCUAUAAAUCUUUACAUUUUAUUUAAGUCUCUUUAGUAGAAAAAGUUUGGCGGCUUAAAGAAGGUGUUUUAUUGGGGUGAUAUUAAAAUUUAUUGAACUUUUAAUUUUUUAUACAUUAAUUUAUGGCUUUAUGAUCCGUUUAAACGAUUAAUAAAAUAAGAUACUUUAGGGAUAACAGCGUAAUUUUUUUGGAGAGUUCUUAUCGAUAAAAAAGAUUGCGACCUCGAUGUUGGAUUAAGGAAUAAAUUUAG